GUAGUCUGCCAUACGCAGGAAGACCCGCUGAACUGAAGCAUCUCAUUAAGCGGAGGAAAAGAAACUAACUAGGAUUCCCUUAGUAAAGGCGAUCGAAAAGGGAACAGCCCAACGUCUUAAUCCCGCAAGGGAAAUGUAGUCGGUUCACCUAUUGCACUGGUCUAAGUCAGAUGGAAUGCUGCGCGAUUCAGAGUAAAAGCCUCGUAUGACCAACCGCAAGCUUACGAUGGACCGGGGAGAGUCGGAUACUUUGAGAGUAGUGUCUUAAGGGGGUGGUAUGUCCCAUCCAAGGCUAAAUAACGUGAGGAGACCGAUAGAUUACAAGUAGUGUGAACGAAAGAUGAAAAGAACUCUAAAACAGAGGGUGAAAAGUUCCUGAACUUGCUUAGGGUUAAGGCUAUUUAUAGUACCCGUCUUGAAACACGGAUUAGGGAGUUUAUCUGUAGUGCGAGUCUUUGCACGUUAACUGUAAAGGCGUAGAGAAAGCAACUGGCGUUUGCAUGGCUACUGAGCAUUACUGAUAGGACCCGAAAGGUGGUGAACUUUGCCUGCACAGGUUGAAGUCAGGGGAAACUCUGAUGGAGGACCGUACGGGUUAUUGAUGUGCAAAUCAUUUUUCUGAUGUAGGUAAAGGUGCGAAAGACUCAUCGAACCACCUAAUAGCUGGUUUCCUCCGAAGUUUCCCUCAGGAUAGCUGUAAUGCAUUUUAGUUAAGGGGAGUAAAGAUAUGGGUAGAAGUGCAGGGAGCCUUC
rfam:Trichomonas vaginalis G3, whole genome shotgun sequence.